rnacentral:rRNA from 1 species
CCUACGGGAGGCAGCAGUGGGGAAUUUUGGACAAUGGGCGCAAGCCUGAUCCAGCAAUGCCGCGUGCAGGAUGAAGGCCUUCGGGUUGUAAACUGCUUUUGUACGGAACGAAACGGUGAGCUCUAAUAAAGUUUGCUAAUGACGGUACCGUAAGAAUAAGCACCGGCUAACUACGUGCCAGCAGCCGCGGUAAUACGUAGGGUGCGGGCGUUAAUCGGAAUUACUGGGCGUAAAGCGUGCGCAGGCGGUUAUAUAAGACAGAUGUGAAAUCCCCGGGCUCAACCUGGGACCUGCAUUUGUGACUGUAUAGCUAGAGUACGGUAGAGGGGGAUGGAAUUCCGCGUGUAGCAGUGAAAUGCGUAGAUAUGCGGAGGAACACCGAUGGCGAAGGCAAUCCCCUGGACCCGUACUGACGCUCAUGCACGAAAGCGUGGGGAGCAAACAGGAUUAGAUACCCUGGUAGUCCACGCCCUAAACGAUGUCAACUGGUUNUUGGGUCUUCACUGACUCAGUAACGAAGCUAACGCGUGAAGUUGACCCGCCGNGGGAGGUACGGCCGCGAGUAGAACGUACGAAGGAAAGUUAGACGGCGUGAGACGUAGCCGACGGACGACGACGAGGGAGGAGGG